GCGGUGGUUCGGUCGUGGCUGCUGCUGGCUUGGGUGAGCACGGUGGCGGGCAACCUGUCGCUGCUGGGGUCGGCGGCGAACCUGAUCGUGUGCGAGCAGGCUCGGCGGGCGACGCGCAACGCCUACGACCUCACCUUCUGGCAACACAUCGUCUUCGGAGUGCCAUCCACCCUCAUCGUCACCGCCAUCGGCAUACCACUCAUCGGAAAGAUCAACAUCUGAUUGAUCGAUCGAUCUGCCAGCCGCGCGCGCGAUGCAUGCAGGCAUCAACGUAAUACGUAACGACGCCGGCUC
rnacentral:lncRNA from 1 species